rnacentral:ncRNA from 1 species
UCUUGUUGCAAUAGUAAUCCUGCUCAGUACAAGAGGAACUGCAGAUUCAGAUCCCUGGUGCUUGCACUUGGCUGAGGAGCUGCUGGCAUGAGGUUACCAUCUGUGGGCUUAUGACUGUAUGCCUCUAAGCUAGAAUCUCACCUGGACAUAGCAAUUUGGCAGUGUGGGGGGUGCCUUGGCAGGCUCACAAUAGCUGCCCAGUACAGAUUGCUGCUCGGGGUCAGGACCAGAGGGGUGCACAGAUGUGGGGGCACCUCUCUCCUAUUGUGUAAUCGUGGGGCACCCAGUACUAAAUCAUUCAUAGACAUUCUGAGCCUGGGUCAGGUUUUCAUAUGUGGCAGAGCAACUCUCUCUCUGAUGUACUGAGGAUCAGACCUUGGCAGAAGCUCC